rnacentral:misc_RNA from 1 species
AAGUCGUAACAAGGUUUCCGUAGGUGAACCUGCGGAAGGAUCAUUAACACGUAUCCAACGUUAAACCCCCCUGUGAACCUUCAGAAGUCCGUUCUCGUAACACCAGUGCGCCUCAGCAAUCCCGGUAAAUCAUUAGUGUCACCGGAUAACGCCUCACGAUUGCUGGGUCGACCACCGGCCAGCUUCCAUGUCAUAGGGUCCUUUGAGAUCCCUUCGAAACCCCACUACUUUAUAGUUCGGGCUUGCUAAAUACACGCCCAAAAAAACGAACAACUGUUAACAAUGGAUAUCUUGGUUCUC